UACGUAGGGGGCAAGCGUUGUCCGGAAUCAUUGGGCGUAAAGCGCGCGUAGGCGGCCCGGUAAGUCCGUUGUGAAAGUCAAAGGCUCAACCUUUGAACGCCGAUGGAUACUGCCGGGCUAGAGUCCGGAAGAGGCGAGUGGAAUUCCUGGUGUAGCGGUGGAAUGCGCAGAUAUCAGGAGGAACACCGGUGGCGAGGGCGGAUCUCUGGGCCUUGCCUGACGCUGAGGCGCGAAAGCUAGGGGAGCGAACAGG
rnacentral:rRNA from 1 species